GCAUGGGUAGCUGGAAGAGUUCUCAUGGUCGACGUGAGAGUGGAAGGAUGGAUGAGAAUGAGACAGCAAGCAAACCCAUCGUGGUAAAUGUUCCAAAACAAAAAUUUGGUUCUGUUUAUGGCGAGGAUGGUUCCAAUUUGACUCGACUGAAAGAGAUCUCUGGAGCGACAGUCGUCCUACAAGAUCCAGGUCCCGGAGAAUGUGAUGGAAAGGUGACCAUAUCCGGUACACCUGAACAGAUCCAGAUGGCACAAAGCCUUCUUCAAGCCUUCAUCUUCUUGUAAUCAGCGGUCCGGGACAUAGACUGACAAAAAAAAUAUAGAUGCUACUACCUUAUAUGUCGAUAAGAGUAUUUCUUCGUCAUUAGGAAAUAGUUAUGGUGCAUUUGGUGACCUGUAAGUAUACAUGCUCCAUAUAUAUGUUGUCUAGCUGCUUGCUUUCGAAAUUAGGUGUUAGACUUUAAAAGCCUCUGUGUUAUACAACAGUUUUCGAUGAAGCUUAGUAGUGCUAAACAACAAAGCACUUGAUACAAACUUAGUUUGAGCUAGACAUGGUGUAACGUUCUUUAUAGAGUCGGAUUUGGAACUUAAAGUUGAUGAGUUCAAACAUGUAAAACUCUUGGCAUUGGGCUCAUUGCAUUUAUG
rnacentral:misc_RNA from 1 species